rnacentral:rRNA from 1 species
AGUGAACGCUGGCGGUAGGCCUAACACAUGCAAGUCGAACGGCAGCACAGUAAGAGCUUGCUCUUACGGGUGGCGAGUGGCGGACGGGUGAGGAAUACAUCGGAAUCUACUUUUUCGUGGGGGAUAACGUAGGGAAACUUACGCUAAUACCGCAUACGACCUACGGGUGAAAGCAGGGGAUCUUCGGACCUUGCGCGAUUGAAUGAGCCGAUGUCGGAUUAGCUAGUUGGCGGGGUAAAGGCCCACCAAGGCGACGAUCCGUAGCUGGUCUGAGAGGAUGAUCAGCCACACUGGAACUGAGACACGGUCCAGGCUCCUACGGGAGGCAGCAGUGGGGAAUAUUGGACAAUGGGCGCAAGCCUGAUCCAGCCAUACCGCGUGGGUGAAGAAGGCCUGCGGGUUGUAAAGCCCUUUUGUUGGGAAAGAAAAGCAGCAGGUUAAUACCCCGCUGUUCUGACGGUACCCAAAGAAUAAGCACCGGCUAACUUCGU